UUUCUUGAAUGAUGAGAAUAAGCAAUUACAGUUAUCCCUGCCUGAUGUAUUCUGCUGAAUGCUUGUGAUCUGACAUCAAA